CUCAUCACAACAUUCAUCUGGGCUACUGGAGGCAUCCAAGUGUUUGGAAACAAGCCUGGAUUCUGAGAGCAACACAGAUAUACUAACACCUGAAGGUCCUUCCCCUAGUUUUGGUGAUAACCCAGAUGUUCCACCUCUGACCAGAACUGACAGCAUAUUUCUCACCCAAGAAUACCUUGGAUCAAGUCCCAAGCCGUCAGAUGAAUCAGAAGCCUCAAUGAUCUGCAGUGGAAGCAGUGGUGAUGAAUAUAGCCCACCUCAAGACUCAACCAAUAUAAGCAGUUCAGAAGGAUCUUCUGAUGAAAUCUGCAAGGUUCCAUUGAUGAAACCAAAGAAGUCACAGAA